GCCUGGCUGGCUCAGUCAGAAGAGCGUAUGACUCUUGAUCUUAGGGUUGUGAGUUUGAGCCCCGCACUGGGUG
rfam:Ailuropoda melanoleuca scaffold845_65, whole genome shotgun sequence.